UCCGGUGACGAUGCCUACGUGGAUCCACCUGUUCCCAUUCCGAACACAGUAGUUAAGCACGUAGAGGCCGAAAGUACUUGGCUGGAGACGGCCUGGGAGGAUAGGAAGCUGCCGGUU
rnacentral:rRNA from 1 species